CCGGGGUUUCUUUACCAGAUACUGUCAUUAUCAUCUCUGGCGAAAGAGCUUUACGACCCUAAGGCCUUCGUCACUCACGCGGCAUGGCUAGAUCAGGCUUGCGCCCAUUGUCUAAGAUUCCCCA
rnacentral:rRNA from 1 species